CCUACGGGAGGCAGCAGUGAGGAAUAUUGGUCAAUGGUCGGGAGACUGAACCAGCCAAGCCGCGUGAGGGAGGAAGGUACAGAGUAUCGUAAACCUCUUUUGUCAGGGAACAAAGGCGGGGACGUGUCCCCGGAUGAGUGUACCUGAAGAAAAAGCAUCGGCUAACUCCGUGCCAGCAGCCGCGGUAAUACGGAGGAUGCGAGCGUUAUCCGGAUUUAUUGGGUUUAAGGGGUGCGCAGGCCGUCUGUUAAGUCAUCGGUAAAAGCCCGGGGCUCAACCCCGGCCCGCCGUUGAAACUGGCAGUCUCGAGUUGGAGAGAAGUAUGCGGAAUGCGCGGUGUAGCGGUGAAAUGCAUAGAUAUCGCGCAGAACUCCGAUUGCGAAGGCAGCAUGCCGGCUCCACACUGACGCUGAGGCACGAAAGCGUGGGUAUCGAACAGGAUUAGAUACCCCAGUAGUC
rnacentral:rRNA from 1 species